rnacentral:lncRNA from 1 species
UGACUUCACAGUGCUGUCACCUGACCUCCACACACUCAUACACACACACACACACACACACACACACACACACACACACACUCAAUGAUAAUAAUAAUUAAAAUGUAAAUUUAAAUAACGAACGGCAUUGCCGAGUGGGAGCUGAAGUGUUUCACAGGUGACUCCAGCCCGACUUGGGUCUUGUAGCUUCCCAGGCCCAGGUAGUCAUUGCUCUUGGGAAUGCUGACUGGGGGACCAGUCAGUCACUGAGUGCAGCCACUGUGUUUUCCAGGAUUUCCUUCGGUUGCUGUGGGCGUUUCACUGCUGCCGAGCUGCUGUCCUUCUCCCUGUCAGUCAUGCUUGUCCUCAUCUGGGUUCUCACUGGACACUGGCUUCUUAUGGACGGUGAGUGACGCCACGGGCUGCUGUGACUGUUUCUUGCAUGGGUUCAUAGGUCACGGCCUCAGCUGCGGGCCUUGGACCAGUGCGGAUGCAUACAUUUCAAAAAACAAUUGUGAACAGCAGAAGUUAACUCAGAGUCACGCACACAGUGAGUCCACGCUGACGCUGUGCAUGGUUGUUAUAGCAUCACACACCUUCACUAAAGGCCUUGGUUCUGAAGACACAACAUGCCCGGCCUCGCACAGCUCUGCUCAUGCUGAUGUGUGUGCUACAAUCACAGUGUUUUACUGCAGUGCCGUCUCCUCUCCAGAGGACACAAUGGCACAACAGAGGGCAGAGGCCUUUCAUAGUCUGCAGUC